rnacentral:rRNA from 1 species
AGGGCGCACGGUGGAUGCCUUGGCACUAGAAGCCGAAGAAGGACGUGACUAACGACGAAAUGCUUUGGGGAGCUGUAAGUAAGCGCUGAUCCAGAGAUGUCCGAAUGGGGGAACCCACUAGUUAAUGACUAGUAUCCAUAUCUGUUAAGGAUAUGAGAAGGAAGACGCAGUGAACUGAAACAUCUAAGUAGCUGCAGGAAGAGAAAGCAAAAGCGAUUGCCUUAGUAGCGGCGAGCGAAACGGCAGGAGGGCAAACCGAAGUGUUUACACUUCGGGGUUGUAGGACUGCGAUAUAGGAUUAAUCAUUAUAGAAGAAUUACCUGGGAAGGUAAGCCAAAGAGAGUAACAGCCUCGUAUUUAAAAUGAUAGAUUAACCUUAGCAGUAUCCUGAGUACGGCGAGACACGCGAAAUCUCGUCGGAAUCUGGGAGGACCAUCUCCCAACCCUAAAUACUCUCUAGUGACCGAUAGUGAACCAGUACCGUGAGGGAAAGGUGAAAAGCACCCCGGGAGGGGAGUGAAAUAGAACCUGAAACCGUGUGCCUACAACAAGUUCGAGCCCGUUAAUGGGUGAGAGCGUGCCUUUUGUAGAAUGAACCGGCGAGUUACGAUAUGAUGCGAGGUUAAGUUGAAGAGACGGAGCCGUAGGGAAACCGAGUCUUAAUAGGGCGCCAUAGUAUCAUGUUGUAGACCCGAAACCAUGUGACCUACCCAUGAGCAGGUUGAAGGUGAGGUAAAACUCACUGGAGGACCGAACCAGGGCACGUUGAAAAGUGCUUGGAUGACUUGUGGGUAGCGGAGAAAUUCCAAACGAACUUGGAGAUAGCUGGUUCUCUCCGAAAUAGCUUUAGGGCUAGCGUCGAUGUUAAGUCUCUUGGAGGUAGAGCACUGUUUGGGUGAGGGGUCCAUCCCGGAUUACCAAUCUCAGAUAAACUCCGAAUGCCAACGAGAUAUAAUCGGCAGUCAGACUGCGAGUGCUAAGAUCCGUAGUCGAAAGGGAAACAGCCCAGACCACCAGCUAAGGUCCCAAAAUAUAUGUUAAGUGGAAAAGGAUGUGGGGUUGCACAGACAACUAGGAUGUUAGCUUAGAAGCAGCUAUUCAUUCAAAGAGUGCGUAAUAGCUCACUAGUCGAGUGACCCUGCGCCGAAAAUGUACCGGGGCUAAAACAUAUUACCGAAGCUGUGGAUGACACAAAAGUGUCAUGGUAGGAGAGCGUUCUAUGUGUGAAGAAGGUGUACCGUGAGGAGCGCUGGAACGCAUAGAAGUGAGAAUGCCGGUAUGAGUAGCGCAAGACAGGUGAGAAUCCUGUCCACCGUAAGACUAAGGUUUCCAGGGGAAGGCUCGUCCGCCCUGGGUUAGUCGGGACCUAAGGAGAGACCGAAAGGUGUAUCCGAUGGACAACAGGUUGAUAUUCCUGUACUAGAGUAUAUAGUGAUGGAGGGACGCAGUAGGCUAACUAAACCAGACGAUUGGAAGUGUCUGGUCAAACAGUGAGGUGUGAUAUGAGUCAAAUGCUUAUAUCUUUAACAUUGAGCUGUGACGAGGAGCGAAGUUUAGUAGCGAAGUUAGUGAUGUCACACUGCCAAGAAAAGCUUCUAGCGAUACAUAUACUCUACCCGUACCGCAAACCGACACAGGUAGUCGAGGCGAGUAGCCUCAGGUGAGCGAGAGAACUCUCGUUAAGGAACUCGGCAAAAUGGCCCCGUAACUUCGGGAGAAGGGGCGCUGAUUUUAGAUCAGCCGCAGUGAAUAGGCCCAAGCAACUGUUUAUCAAAAACACAGCUCUCUGCUAAAUCGUAAGAUGAUGUAUAGGGGGUGACGCCUGCCCGGUGCUGGAAGGUUAAGAGGAGUGCUUAGCGUAAGCGAAGGUAUGAAUUGAAGCCCCAGUAAACGGCGGCCGUAACUAUAACGGUCCUAAGGUAGCGAAAUUCCUUGUCGGGUAAGUUCCGACCCGCACGAAAGGCGUAAUGAUUUGGGCACUGUCUCAACGAGAGACUCGGUGAAAUUUUAGUACCUGUGAAGAUGCAGGUUACCCGCGACAGGACGGAAAG